rnacentral:rRNA from 1 species
UACGAAGGGGGCUAGCGUUGCUCGGAAUCACUGGGCGUAAAGCGCGCGCAGGCGGUCUUCCAAGUCAGUGGUGAAAGCCCGGAGCUCAACUCCGGAACUGCCAUUGAAACUGUGAGACUUGAGGAUGAGAGAGGUGAGUGGAAUUCCCAGUGUAGAGGUGAAAUUCGUAGAUAUUGGGAAGAACACCGGUGGCGAAGGCGGCUCACUGGCUCAUUUCUGACGCUCAGGCGCGACAGCGUGGGGAUCAAACAGG